rnacentral:rRNA from 1 species
GACGAACGCUGGCGGCGUGCUUAACACAUGCAAGUCGAACGGAAAGGCCCUGCUUUUGUGGGGUGCUCGAGUGGCGAACGGGUGAGUAACACGUGAGUAACCUGCCCUUGACUUUGGGCUAACUUCUGGAAACUGGGGCUAAUACCGGAUAGGAGCUCCUGCUGCAUGGUGGGGGUUGGAAAGUUUCGGCGGUUGGGGAUGGACUCGCGGCUUAUCAGCUUGUUGGUGGGGUAGUGGCUUACCAAGGCUUUGACGGGUAGCCGGCCUGAGAGGGUGACCGGGCACAUUGGGACUGAGAUACGGCCCAGACUCCUACGGGAGGCAGCAGUGGGGAAUAUGGCACAAUGGGCGGAAGCCAGAUGCAGCAACGCCGCGUGCGGGAUGACGGCCUUCGGGUUGUAAACCGCUUUCGCCUGUGACGAAGCGUGAGUGACGGUAAUGGGUAAAGAAGCACCGGCUAACUACGUG